rnacentral:rRNA from 1 species
GACAGAGGUGGCAAGCGUUGCUCGGAUUCACUGGGCUUAAAGGGCGCGUAGGCGGCUUUGUAAGUCCGAGGUGGAAUUCCACAGCUCAACUGUGGAACUGCCUUUGAUACUGCAAGGCUUGAGUCAGGUAGAGGAGGGCGGAAUUCCCGGUGUAGCGGUGAAAUGCGUAGAUAUCGGGAGGAAGGCCGGUGGCGAAGGCGGCCUCCUGGGCCUGCACUGACGCUGAGGCGCGAAAGCGUGGGGAGCAAACAGG